rnacentral:rRNA from 1 species
GACGAACGCUGGCGGCGUGCUUAACACAUGCAAGUCGAACGAGAAUCUGUGGAUCGAGGAUUCGUCCAAGUGAAGCAGAGGACAGUGGCGGACUGGUGAGUAACGCGUGAGGAACCUGCCUUUCAGAGGGGGACAACAGUUGGAAACGACUGCUAAUACCGCAUGAUGUGUAACUGGGACAUCCCGGAUACACCAAAGAUUUAUCGCUGAAAGAUGGCCUCGCGUCUGAUUAGCUAGUUGGUGAGGUAACGGCCCACCAAGGCGACGAUCAGUAGCCGGACUGAGAGGUUGACCGGCCACAUUGGGACUGAGACACGGUCCAAACUCCUACGGGAGGCAGCAGUGAGGAAUAUUGGUCAAUGGGCGAGAGCCUGAACCAGCCAAGUAGCGUGCAGGAUGACGGCCCUAUGGGUUGUAAACUGCUUUUAUAAGGGAAUAAAGU